CGGGGCGGCCCUUACACAUGCAGUUCGACGAGACCUUCGGGUCUAGUGGCGCACGGGUGCGUAACGCGUGGGCAAUCUGCCCUUGGGUUCGGAAUAACAGUUAGAAAUGACUGCUAAUACCGGAUGAUGACUUCGGUCCAAAGAUUUAUCGCCCAGGGAUGAGCCCGCGUAGGAUUAGCUUGUUGGUGAGGUAAAAGCUCACCAAGGCGACGAUCCUUAGCUGGUCUGAGAGGAUGAUCAGCCACACUGGGACUGAGACACGGCCCAGACUCCUACGGGAGGCAGCAGUGGGGAAUAUUGCACAAUGGGCGCAAGCCUGAUGCAGCAACGCCGCGUGCGGGAUGACGGCCUUCGGGUUGUAAACCGCUUUUGUCAGGGAAGAAGCCUUUCGGGGUGACGGUACCUGGAGAAAAAGGACCGGCUAACUACGUGCCAGCAGCCGCGGUAAUA
rnacentral:rRNA from 1 species